CCAAUAGCGUAUAUUAAAGUUGUUGCAGUUAAAAAGCUCGUAGUUGAAUUUCGGGAUCAAUGGGUUGGUCAUGCCCUCGGUAUGUACUGAUUUCAUUGGUUCUCACCUUCUAAGGAACCAUGAUGUCAUUCGUUUGAUGUUGUGGGGAAUUAGGACGGUUACCUUGAAAAAAUUAGAGUGUUUAAAGCAGGCUAACGCUUGUAUACAUUAGCAUGGAAUAAUGAAAUAGGACAUCCGAUUCUAUUUUGUUGGUUUCUAGGAUCGAUGUAAUGAUUAAUAGGGAUAGUUGGGGGCAUUAGUAUUCAAUUGUCAGAGGUGAAAUUCUUGGAUUUAUUGAAGACUAACUACUGCGAAAGCAUUUGCCAAGGAUGUUUUCAUUAAUCAAGAACGAAAGUUAGGGGAUCGAAGACGAUCAGAUACCGUCGUAGUCUUAACCAUAAACUAUGCCGACUAGGGAUCAGAUGAUGUUUAUUUUUUAAUGACUCAUUCGGCACCUUACG
rnacentral:rRNA from 1 species